rnacentral:piRNA from 2 species
UCCCUUUCUGAGGUGCUGGGACU